UACGGAAGGCAGCAGUGGGGAAUAUUGCACAAUGGGCGCAAGCCUGAUGCAGCCAUGCCGCGUGUAUGAAAAAGGCCUUCGGGUUGUAAAGUACUUUCAGUCGUGAGGAAGGUGUUAAGGUUAAUAACCUUAGCAAUUGACGUUAGCGACAGAAGAAGCACCGGCUAACUCCGUGCCAGCAGCCGCGGUAAUACGGAGGGUGCGAGCGUUAAUCGGAAUUACUGGGCGUAAAGGGCACGCAGGCGGUUAAUUAAGUUGGAUGUGAAAUCCCCGGGCUUAACCUGGGAAUGGCAUUCAAGACUGGUUAGCUAGAGUCUUGUAGAGGGGGUAGAAUUCCGAUGUGUAGCGGUGAAAUGCGUAGAGAUGUGGAGGAAUACCGGUGGCGAAGGCGGCCCCGUGGACAAAGACUGACGCUCAUGUGCGAAAGCGUGGGGAGCAAACAGGGAUUAGAUACC
rnacentral:rRNA from 1 species